rnacentral:rRNA from 1 species
AUACGUAGGGGGCGAGCGUUGUCCGGAAUGAUUGGGCGUAAAGGGCGCGUAGGCGGCGCGGUAAGUCUGGAGUGAAAGUCCUGCUUUCAAGGUGGGAAUUGCUUUGGAUACUGCCGCGCUUGAGUGCAGGAGAGGUUAUCGGAAUUCCCGGUGUAGCGGUGAAAUGCGUAGAGAUCGGGAGGAACACCAGUGGCGAAGGCGGGUAACUGGACUGCAACUGACGCUGAGGCGCGAAAGUGUGGGGAGCAAACAGGAUUAGAUACCCUGGUAGUCCACUCUGUAAACGAUGAAUGCUAGGUGUAAGAGGUAUCGACCCCUUUUGUGCCGGAGUCAACACAAUAAGCAUUCCGCCUGUGGAGUACGGCCGCAAGGUUGAAACUCAAAUGAAUUUACGGGG